rnacentral:lncRNA from 1 species
GGCGACCGGCGUUGCCAGGGGUGAGAGCGGGACGGGACCGUGCGCGCAGGGCCUCAGAGUUGUUUGCAAAGCAGAAUCCCUGCAGCUGUGGACACACGCGAAUAGGAGUUAGCUGCUGGGCGCUGUCGACAAGGUUCCUGACUCACCUUUGGAAGACGUCCUAGUGGUUUAUUUGGGCUUUUUCCCCUCUAAAUACUUUUGACUGGAAGUCUGACGAAGAUUUUUAUUCUAGAGUAGGUCUAUUACAAUACCCACUUAAUUAAAUUUUAGUGACUUAACGACGCCCUCUACCGCUUUUAUAAAGCGCAGAUUCAGAGUCCUAAAUAAAUUUUGUUGUGUGCCCAGUUUGCAGUUUAAUACUCGAGAGCCAGGUCCUGCAGAGUCCCCUCCAGAGGGAGGCUCAUUCAGAACGCGUCUGCCGAUUCCAGCCGCCUGUGGAAAGAGAAGGCUUCGGGGCCUUUCUGAAAUGUCUGCGCUGUGUUCCGAGGCUCGUCGGAAGGCCGGGUUGCCUGGGAGCGCUCGUUCGUAGUUUUCUUUUCAGCCCUGGUUUGCCUUUCUUCUUGUCCCUCCAGUGGAGGAGAUCGAGCAGAUGAACAGCCUGUUCCAGCAGAAGCAGAGGGAGCUGGUUUCUGGCCGUGUCCAAGGUGGAGGAGCUGGGGCCGGCAGCUGGAGGUGCUCAAGAACGGCCGGCUGGACGGGCGGCACGACGGCAGGUGCGCCGCGGCCGAGCUCGACCGCCUUCUACAAGGAGCUGCAGUUACGAAACAAACUGAAUCAGGAGCAGAAUUGCCACGCUUGCAGCAGCAGCGGGAGUGUCUGAACAAGCGCAAUCCGAGGUGGCAGUCAUGGAAAGCGCGUGAACGAGCUGCGAGGACCGGCUGGUGGAAGAGAAGGCGGCGCUGCAGCACAAGGAGGGCCCCCCGGUAGGUGGGGUAGGUUGGGGUAGGCGGGGCGCCGGCCGCCUGCAGGGUUCCGGGGCCGGGGGGGGGGGGGGGGGGGGGGGGGGGUUGGAGCGGGGCCACAGCUCCCCUGCCGGGCGGACGGAAGCACGGGCCUG